AUUAAUUUUUCACGCAAUAGUUUCUACACCGGAAACUAUUGUGUAUCUUUUACCGGAUCUAACCUUACGUUAGACCCUAGGUUUUUUUUUCCUUCACUUUUAUUUUCCUGUCCGAUUGAAGAAUUCAAGAACAAAUCCAACCGGUCUGUGGUGGAGUGUUCAAGACUGCUAUUAAUUACUCAGGUUCUUUAAUUACUGUUUGAAUUUAUAUAUGCCCUGCUUUAUUGUUUAUUUGCAUUAUUUGCCUGAGAUGUUUCUA
rnacentral:lncRNA from 1 species